UUGGAGGGCAAGUCUGGUGCCCGCAGCCGCGGUAAUUCCAGCUCCAAUAGCGUAUAUUAAAGUUGUUGCAGUUAAAAAGCUCGUAGUUGAAUUUCGGGAUCAGUACGUUGGUCGUGCCUUAGGUACGUACUGGUGUUACUGGUUCCUACCUUCUGACGAACCAUCAUGUCAUUCAUUUGGUGUGGCGGGGAAUCAGGACUGUUACUUUGAAAAAAUUAGAGUGUUUAAAGCAGGCUCGCGCUUGAAUACAUUAGCAUGGAAUAAUGAAAUAGGACGUUGAUCCUAUUUUGUUGGUUUCUAGGAUUGACGUAAUGAUUAAUAGGGAUAGUUGGGGGCAUUAGUAUUCAAUUGUCAGAGGUGAAAUUCUUGGAUUUAUUGAAGACUAACUACUGCGAAAGCAUUUGCCAAGGAUGUUUUCAUUAAUCAAGAACGAAAGUUAGGGGAUCGAAGACGAUCAGAUACCGUCGUAGUCUUAACCAUAAACUAUGCCGACUAGGGAUCGGGUGAUGUUAAUUUUUUAAUGACUCAUUCGGCGCCUUACGGGAAAC
rnacentral:rRNA from 1 species